UUUUUUUUUUUUUUUUUUAACCGAACUCAAGACCUGGGGAAGAAUGUGAAAGUUUCAGCAAAUUGAAAAUGAGGCUCAGGCCCCUCCUCCUUCCUUUGAUGCCCCCUCUCAGGAGCCAAGCUGCACCUCUACAUGGCUGUUUGGUGCAUCAGAUUACAAAGGAACCGCAAUGAGGAGAGAGAGAGAGAUCCUUGAGGGAAAAUCCACGCAGGACAAACAGAGUAUGUAACCAGGCUUCAGGAAUGGCUUUUUCUUCCUUUUACACUGGCUGGGGUUGUUUGCAAAAUCUGAUUUACCUUCUGCCAAGGACACAGAGACUGUAAAAUGAAAUCUAUGGGAAAGUGAGGCUCCUUGGUGUCUCAUCUCGACUUCAAGGCAAAAUCAAAGGCAGGAUGAGUUCCUGGCAAGCAGUGGGUUAAAGGCUUUAGAAUCAGACAGAUGUAGAAUUGAAUCCUCACUCCUCAACCUCUUAGUGCGCAAGUUUCUGCAACUGUAAAAAACAGGGAUAACAAUGUCCACUCUUCCAUCUGCCCAUCUAAAUGGAGCCCCAUUACCCACCUUCAGAUAAUGUGAUGGUCAUUAAGACUGUUCACCAAGCACGUUGGCUCUCCUGCUUUCUAGGCACACAAGAGGAUGGCACUUUACGGCCUUCUUUGAAAUUAGGUAAGGUCAUGUGACAGUUCUGGCCAAUGAAUUGUGAGCAGAGGUGACAUGUGUCACCUACAGGUAGAAGAUUUAAUUGCCAUUGUGAGACCAUCCAGGGCUCUCUUUUCCUCUGGCACAGUGACCGACGACAUAUGACACAGCACUCCCUCCAUCAGCCCAAGGGGCUGAGUGACUACAGUGAACAGUUUCCCUGCCAAUCUGUGAUGAACUUGUAACAUGAGCAAGAAAUAAAACUGUCAUGGGAGUUCCUGUUGUGGCUCAGUGGUUAAUGAAUCUGACUAGGAACCAUGAGGUUGCAGGUUCGAUCCCUGGCCUCACUCAGUGGGUUAAGGAUCCAGUCAUUGCUACUGCUGUGGCUCAGGUCACUGCUGUAGCAUGGGUUCAGUUCCUGGCCUGAGAACUUCCACAUGCCAUAGGCAUGGCCACCCCCACCCCCAAAAAAAAAGAAACCAAAACUAAUCUUCUUACAGACCCAUCUCCUCACCAACACAUCACAUCUUCUCCUUCAUGCCUCUGCUUCAGCUGGACUCAUAUCUUUGAAUGCCAUGUCUUCCACGAAUCUCUGGAAUCUCUCCUUCUGAAAAUCUUCUAAUUCCACCAUUUGGUGGAUACAUCCUGCCUUGAAGAGCACAGCAGAGAAAGAGCAAACUUUGGAGCAGGACAAUCCUUUCAAGUCCUAACUUUGCCUUUCCCUUGCUGAAAAGGUUACAGGUGUUGCUUUGGUUGAACACAUAUUAUAUACACGACACUGCAGAUCAUAUCAUACAAAUUUAAUUCUCACACUUGCCCUUCAAGAUCAAUUUUAGUAGUUCCAGCUGUGGCACAGCAGGUUAAAGGAUUCGGCAUUGCCACAGCUGCAGCAUAGGUCUCAGCUGUGGCUCAGAUUCAAUCCCUGGCCUAGGAACUUCCAUUAUGUGGUGGGUGCGGGCAUUUAAAAAAAAAAAAUCAACACAC
rnacentral:lncRNA from 1 species